rnacentral:snoRNA from 1 species
AACAUCAUACUUUCAGGGAUCAUUUCUAUAGUCUUUGACUUGAGAAAUGACGUAUGAAAGUGAUCGGUUACUCUAACCACGAUGAAGAGAACUGAUGUUUCCUGCUGAGCGAGAAGCGGGCAGUGAGUGUUGAUGCAUUACAUCCGCUCCUUGUCACUAGCCGUGUUUACAUGGCAGAUCUAUGCCGCAUAGAUUUCUAUGCGGC